UACGAAGGGGGCUAGCGUUGUUCGGAAUUACUGGGCGUAAAGCGCACGUAGGCGGGUUUGUAAGUAGGGGGUGAAAUCCCAGGGCUCAACCCUGGAACUGCCUUCUAGACUGCAAGCCUGGAGGUCAGGAGAGGCGAGUGGAAUACCGAGUGUAGAGGUGAAAUUCGUAGAUAUCGAGAGGAACACCGGCGGCGAAGGCGGCCAACUGGACCACUACUGACGCUGAGACACGAAAGCGUGGGGAGCAAACAGG
rnacentral:rRNA from 1 species